UACGGAGGAUCCAAGCGUUGUCCGGAUUUAUUGGGUUUAAAGGGUGCGUAGGCGGAUGUCUAAGUCAGUGGUGAAAGCCUGCAGCUUAACUGUAGAAUUGCCAUUGAAACUGGAUAUCUUGAAUGUGGUUAAAGUAAGCGGAAUGUAUCAUGUAGCGGUGAAAUGCUUAGAUAUGAUACAGAACACCGAUAGCGAAGGCAGCUUACUGAGCCACUAUUGACGCUGAGGCACGAAAGCGUGGGGAGCGAACAGG
rnacentral:rRNA from 1 species